rnacentral:rRNA from 1 species
UAGGGAAUCUUCCGCAAUGGGCGAAAGCCUGACGGAGCAACGCCGCGUGAGUGAUGAAUGUCUUCGGAUCGUAAAACUCUGUUAUUAGGGAAGAACAAAUGUGUAAGUAACUAUGCACGUCUUGACGGUACCUAAUCAGAAAGCCACGGCUAACUACGUGCCAGCAGCCGCGGUAAUACGUAGGUUGCAAGCGUUAUCCGGAAUUAUUGGGCGUAAAGCGCGCGUAGGCGGUUUUUUAAGUCUGAUGUGAAAGCCCACGGCUCAACCGUGGAGGGUCAUUGGAAACUGGAAAACUUGAGUGCAGAAGAGGAAAGUGGAAUUCCAUGUGUAGCGGUGAAAUGCGCAGAGAUAUGGAGGAACACCAGUGGCGAAGGCGACUUUCUGGUCUGUAACUGACGCUGAUGUGCGAAAGCGUGGGGAUCAAACAGG